CUCGGGGAUUGUACACACCGCCCGUCAAGUCACGAAAGCUGGCAACACCCGAAGUCAGUGGCCCACCUUUUUGGAGGGAGCUGCCGAAGGUGGGGUUGGUAAUUGGGACU
rnacentral:rRNA from 1 species